rnacentral:rRNA from 1 species
UACGUAGGGUGCAAGCGUUAAUCGGAAUUACUGGGCGUAAAGCGUGCGCAGGCGGUUUUAUAAGCCAGAUGUGAAAGCCCCGGGCUCAACCUGGGAAUGGCAUUUGGGACUGUAAGGCUGGAGUAUGGCAGAGGAGACUAGAAUUCCUGGUGUAGCAGUGAAAUGCGUAGAUAUCAGGAGGAAUACCGAUGGCGAAGGCAGGUCUCUGGGCCAAUACUGACGCUCAUGCACGAAAGCGUGGGGAGCAAACAGG